AACGAACGCUGGCGGCAGGCCUAACACAUGCAAGUCGAACGCCCCGCAAGGGGAGUGGCAGACGGGUGAGUAACGCGUGGGAACCUUCCCAAUGGUACGGAAUAGCUCAGGGAAACUUGGGGUAAUACCGUAUAUUCCCGUGAGGGGAAAGAUUUAUCGCCAUUGGAUGGGCCCGCGUCGGAUUAGCUAGUUGGUGAGGUAACGGCUCACCAAGGCGACGAUCCGUAGCUGGUUUGAGAGAAUGACCAGCCACACUGGGACUGAGACACGGCCCAGACUCCUACGGGAGGCAGCAGUGGGGAAUAUUGGACAAUGGGCGCAAGCCUGAUCCAGCCAUGCCGCGUGAGUGACGAAGGCCUUAGGGUUGUAAAGCUCUUUUGCCGGGGAAGAUAAUGACGGUACCCGGAGAAUAAGUCCCGGCUAACUUCGUGCCAGCAGCCGCCGUAA
rnacentral:rRNA from 1 species